CGCCAGCGAGAGAGCGUUGCCGCAGGCAACGACCCGAAGGGCGAAGCGCGCAGCGUUGAGUAAUCCUUCCCCCACCACCA
rnacentral:sRNA from 1 species